GAAUCUGUAAUUUAUUCAAAAUAUAUCACUUACACUGAUAAAAAAGGUUUAUGGCCUCAGAUUUA
rnacentral:tRNA from 1 species